GAGCAGGGCUCUGCUUUGAGUUCACAAGUGUUGCUAAGCAAUGGAAAGAGAGGGAGGAGGAGGAGAGUGCAAGAGAGAGAGUCUGACUUUAGGAGUACAAGAAUAAAUGGAAGAUAAUACUAAUGCUCCUACAUAGCCUCAUUUACAGUGAAUGUUAAAAGUACAAAAUAUUUCCUGUCUACCUUGUAAACUACUCGCAGCCUGUGCAAAGACCGCUAAAACGUGGUUCUAUGUCUAAAUCAAUGCACAUCCUGCAAGUACAAAGUAGUGUUGCAUCCUGGAGCACUGACAAAAGCAGUGAGGCACCAGAACUGUUCACAUCUGCCUCUUGACUAAAAAGAAACACAAGAAAGCAGACCUAAGGCAAGCUGGGCUACUGCCAACUGACUCAAGAUUCCCCGCCCCCCCUCUGACAAGGCUGUCAAUAAAUGGACAGAUGGCAUCCGAUGUGCUGGCAGGAUAGUUCAGUUAACAAUCAAGGCUGUUUGUGGUCGUACAAGUUUCUCGGUGGUAUGUUGUAACAACUGAAAAACUCCAGGGCAGGAUUCAUCUCCUAGAUGAGAAAUAGUUUCAGAUUACAGAAGGAAGAGUGGCAAGUUCAUGGCAGUGUGAAGAAGUGCCUUUUUUUAAAAAAAAAAAAAUUGUCCUCUGUCAGAGCGAGAGAGACUGGCAAGGUGAAAGAGAAGAGGGCAUGGAGACAAUUGCACCACAGUUUACAUGGGAGUAGAGAAGACGACGACAGAAACAGCAGCCAAGCCCCCACCAAUUAAAAUUCACCUCAGAGGCCCCUUCAAGCCAAAAAGUUGCAAGGAACAGCUCAAGACAAAAGCAGAAUUCUGUACGCCUAAGACACUGGUAACAUCCACAAAACAGGAAGAAAGGACAGCAAGUGCUGCUCUUAACACUUAUGUUUUAAGAGUGUUUGCACUAGUAACAACCCCCUAAAACCCUUGUCCACCUAAGGAUCCCAAACUGGCUCUCUCCAGACAGGAGUCUGUGUUAAGAAAGAAAGGGGAGGCUUGAAACAGAUUUGAUAAGUCUAAAGCAUGUCACUGCCUAAGGAGCAGCAUCCUCAGCUCUGUCUAUUUGGAGACUUGGCAUAUACAAUAAGAAGAGCUUGUCACUGGCUAUUUGAAAGACAGAAUCAUGCUUAUUAAAUUCUCUACUGGAAGAAAUCAUAUUCCAGCUAUAGCAUCAGAGUAACUCCAAUUAUGCGGAUGUUUUGGGUCUAGAUGGUGUGGCUAAGAGGGCUGUCAUUUUACCUUUAUAAUACACUGUACAGUGAAUGACAGUGUAGAUUGCUAAGACAAAAUGACUCAUCUACACAAUCCCAAGAGGCCACCUAUUACGAAACAGUGGCAAGUAUAAAGAGAAAGAAAGACUGAGCCCAUGUAUUAGAAAUCUGUCAUGGCUUUUCUUGCUUGUGUAUUAAUUUUUCAUGUUAACCUCAAGUUCUGUUAAGCUAGUUAUGUUUACACUCAUUUCACACGGUACCAAAAUAACCUAAGGCAAUUACCUUUGUUUCCAGGAGCUAAUGAAAAAAAGUUUUCAAUGUCCGUUUUGCCUGGCCUCAAAGCUUCUUUGCACUUGAACACCACCUCCAACAACUGCCAAGUUGUGCUUUUUAGUUUGGUUUACAUUACACAGGGAUGAAUCUAUUGUCUCCAUCACAUGGGAUUAAAAGAGUUUAAUCUUUACCCAAGAGAUAAAAGAGCAUUUUAUUCUUAGUCUAUCACUGUUGACUCUCUCCCCCUAUUUUUUUUUUUUUUUAAUAUAUAUAAAGAGAAGGGCCCAACAUGAACUGAGAGCCACUAGUGGUCCAUGACCUCAUGAAACUACUGUGCAAUAUGUAAUGUACUGCAUUUCCUCUUGUAAAAUUGUUACUAUAUCUCCAUCUCUUUUCUGUGCAAUAUUACCAAGGGGCUACAGAGUAGCAUCUCAGUUUCCUUCUUCAGGUGCGAUGGGUCUCCCUGUUUUUUUGAGUUUGGGAUUUGGAAGAUACCACUGCAUACUGUCUUGCUUCCCCUUUCAUUAUAAGCACCCCAUAGAAAAGCUUGUCAUCCAGCAGUCUCAGACAGAUAUCCCAAGUAACAAAAAUCCAUUUAAACACACCACUGUUGUACAUUUACUGAAGAAUUUCUAUUAGUAUUGAUACAAUCAUUUGUAAACCAAAUCACAAGAUGAAAGCAGAAUUCAUCCGGCAGAACAGAAGCUUCUUCAUCAGGAAGCAGAACAAAAUUUCACCUUGUGCUUUAAACACAUGCAAAGUCUGUAAAGCGUUCUACAUACCUUUGCUAUUUUACAAUACUGAGCUGAGGUUGUCUAUUGCCUAACUGUCUCUCUAGCUCUACUUCAGAUGAAGCCAGAAGAAUACCAGAACAACAUUACCAACUAGGAA